AAAAUGUGCGGUAGCGGACCGAAGGGAGCAUAAGGAGCACAUUUUUUUGUGUUG
rnacentral:sRNA from 1 species